rnacentral:rRNA from 1 species
GAUGAACGCUGGCGGCGUGCCUAAUACAUGCAAGUCGAGCGAACGGACGAGAAGCUUGCUUCUCUGAUGUUAGCGGCGGACGGGUGAGUAACACGUGGAUAACCUACCUAUAAGACUGGGAUAACUUCGGGAAACCGUAGCUAAUACCGGAUAAUAUUUUGAACCGCAUGGUUCAAAAGUGAAAGACGGUCUUGCUGUCACUUAUAGAUGGAUCCGCGCUGCAUUAGCUAGUUGGUAAGGUAACGGCUUACCAAGGCAACGAUGCAUAGCCGACCUGAGAGGGUGCGGGCCCACACUGAAACGAAGCCACGCUCCAGCCUCCACGGGGGGGCAGAGGUGGGGACUCUUCCACAGUGGGCGAAGCCCUGACGAGCAAACGCCGGGUGAGUGAUGAAGUUCUGCGGUUCUUAAAACUCUGUUAUUGGGAAAAAAAAUAUGUGAAAGAAACUGUGCACAUCUUGAGGGACCCAAAUCAGAAGCCCACGCCAAGCACCGCG